rnacentral:rRNA from 1 species
UCUCCUACGGGGGGCAGCAGUGGGGAAUAUUGGGCAAUGGGCGCAAGCCUGACCCAGCAACGCCGCGUGAAGGAAGAAGGCCCUCGGGUUGUAAACUUCUUUUGUCAGGGACGAAGCAAGUGACGGUACCUGACGAAUAAGCCACGGCUAACUACGUGCCAGCAGCCGCGGUAAUACGGAGGAUGCGAGCGUUAUCCGGAUUUAUUGGUUUUAAAGUGUGCGCAGGCGGCGAGUUAAGUCAGCGGUAAAAUUUCGGGGCUCAACCCCGACGAGCCGUUGAAACUGGCUUGCUAGAGUGGGCGAGA